ACCGUAUUAACAUAGUGGUUAAUGUGCCCGACUGUCUAUUGGGAUACGGGAGUUCAAUUCUCCCAUUCGGUGCCA
rnacentral:tRNA from 1 species